rnacentral:rRNA from 1 species
AUUGAACGCUGGCGGCAGGCCUAACACAUGCAAGUCGAACGAGUGGCGGACGGGUGAGUAAUGUCUGGGAAACUGCCUGAUGGAGGGGGAUAACUACUGGAAACGGUAGCUACUACCGCAUACCAUCAGAUGUGCCCAGAUGUGAUUAGCCUGUUGGUGGGGGAACGGCUCACCAAGGCGACGAUCCCUAGCUGGUCUGAGAGGAUGACCAGCCACACUGGAACUGAGACACGGGCCAGACUCCUAGGGGAGGCAGCAGUGGGGAAUAUUGCACAAUGGGCGAAAGCCUGAUCCAGCCAUGCCGCGUGUGUGAAGAAGGUCUUCGGAUUGUAAAGCACUGUAAGUUGGGAGGCGUUACCAACAGAAUAAGCACCGGCUAACUCCGUGCCAGCCGCCGCGGUAAUUC